rnacentral:rRNA from 1 species
CCUACGGGUGGCAGCAGUGAGGAAUAUUGGUCAAUGGACGAAAGUCUGAACCAGCCAUGCCGCGUGCAGGAAGACGGCUCUAUGAGUUGUAAACCGCUUUUGCACAAGGGUAAACCUCAAUACGUGUAUUCAGCUGAAAGUACCGUACGAAUAAGGAUCGGCUAACUCCGUGCCAGCAGCCGCGGUAAUACGGAGGAUCCAAGCGUUAUCCGGAUUUAUUGGGUUUAAAGGGUGCGUAGGCGGAUUGAUAAGUUAGCGGUGAAAUGUCCGGGCUCAACUCGGGAACUGCCUCUAAAACUGGUGAUCUAGAGAGUAGAUGCGGUAGGCGGAAUGUGUGGUGUAGCGGUGAAAUGCUUAGAGAUCAUACAGAACCCCGAUUGCGAAGGCAGCUUGCCGAGCUAUAACUGACGUUGAGGCACGAAAGCGUGGGGAGCAAACAGGAUUAGAUACCCGAGUAGUC